rnacentral:rRNA from 1 species
GACGAACGCUGGCGGCGUGCUUAACACAUGCAAGUCGAACGGAAAGGCCGUGCUUGUGUGGGGUGCUCGAGUGGCAAACGGGUGAGUAACACGUGAGUAACCUGCCCUUGACUUUGGGAGAACUUAAGGAAACUGGGGCUAAUACCGGAUAGGAGCUCCUGCUGCAGGGUGGGGGUGGGAAAGUUUCGGCGGUUGGGGAUGGACUCGCGGCUUAUCAGCUUGUUGGUGGGGUAGGGGCUGACCAAGCCUUGGACGGGUAGCCGGCCUGGGAGGGUGGCCGGCCACCUUGCUACUGCGAGACGGCGCAGUCUCCAACAGGAGGCAGUGGUGGCAAGUCUUACACAGUCAUCGGGCGCCUGUUACGACAACGCCGCGUUCGUGAUGCCGUCCUUCGGGUUGUAAACCGCUUCCGCCUGUUACGACGCGUGAGUGACGGUACUCGAUGAAGAAGCACCGGCUAACUACGUG